rnacentral:rRNA from 1 species
UGUUGACCUCGGAUCAGGUAGGAAUACCCGCUGAACUUAAGCAUAUCAU